rnacentral:lncRNA from 1 species
UUCAUCUCAACACCUGUUCAUCUUUGCACUACGGGCCAAAGAUAUUCAUUAGGUAAUCAUUCAUCUUUGCACUACAGGCCAAAUAUAUUCAUUUGUAUCAUCAUUUAGGACUGAGGAUGAUGAAAAAUAUUUUAAAGAAAAUGAAUCCAGUGAGAUAACAGAUCAAAUAUUAAGGAUUCGUAUUACAGUUUAUCCAAGUUCAAU